rnacentral:rRNA from 1 species
AUUGAACGCUGGCGGCAUGCCUUACACAUGCAAGUCGAACGGUAACAGGUUAAGCUGACGAGUGGCGAAAGGGUGAGUAAUAUAUCGGAACGUGCCCAGUCAUGGGGGAUAACGUAGCGAAAGCUACGCUAAUACCGCAUACGAUCCAUGGAUGAAAGCGGGGGAUCGCAAGACCUCGCGCGAUUGGAGCGGCCGAUAUCAGAUUAGCUAGUUGGUGAGGUAAAGGCUCACCAACGCGACGAUCUGUAGCUGGUCUGAGAGGACGACCAGCCAAACUGGAACUGGGACACGGUCCAGACUCCUACGGGAGGCAGCAGUGGGGGAUGUUGGACAAUGGGAGCAAGCCUGAUCCAGCAAUGCCGCGUGCAGGAUGAAGGACUUCGGGUUGUAAACUGCUUUUGUACGGAACGAAACGGUGAGCUCUAAUACAGUUUGCUAAUGACGGUACCGUAAGAAUAAGCACCGGCUAACUACGUGCCAGCAGCCGCGGUAA